UUUCACCGUUGAUUUAGCCCGGAAUCAUCUCAACCGUCCAUUCCAGAUCCAGAUCUGAUUUAAAUAAGCUACACUACCUAGCUUCUUCGUCGACUCCACAGCGCACAGCAGCUUCGUCCCGCGGCGAUUUUUCUGGAUUCUGACCACCUUUCCUUCUCCUUUCAAUCUCCCGAGCUUCAAUCUCGGUGGAGAGCUUCUCGGCGGCAUCAUCACGAUAUUCUGGAGCCAUUGGAGGGUGUUCUCUCCGGUGGAAUUUGGCUCGCGGCAUCUCCUAGUUUCACCGCAGAUUUGGAGGUGGUCCUCCAAAUCUGAGCUCCGAUUCUCAUCAGAAGCGUUCAGCGGUGGUCCUCCGGCGUUGCUGAACUCCAUCCGACGUCCAUCCGCGUCCCACAGCUUCCCAUCAGAUCCAGAGACCAGAUUUCAGAUUUCGGCCAUUCUUGGGGUUUUGGGUUGUUUCCAGCGUGCCGGGGGCGGUCCGUCGGCACUUGUGAGCAUUCCUCGAGCUGAUACGACACUGAGAUGCUCCACUGAGAGUAUUUAUAAGAUAAACUUCGGGCAGAUUUAUUUGAGCAGGCCUAUGAUGACAGUCUGAUGGUGAAACCGCCACAUUAUUCCCAAAAGAAGCAAGAUCGAGGAACUCGACUUAUUCUGCUUCAUUUAAACUGAGCCUAAAAGAAUUAUAAAGAAGGGGCAUGAUUGUGAAGAAGUGACAGAGCCUCAAAAGUUUGCAAAAGUGUUUAUAGGAAAGGUGCCUAUAAUGCUCCGGUCCAGUAAUUGCACUUUGUAUCAGAACUCUGAGAAGGAUCUCACUGAACUUGGGCAGUGCCCGUAGAGCAACUUCAACCGGUGCCCUUUUCACCAUUUUGGUGUAAAAGGGACAUCAUAUCUCUUCCAAUAGAGAUCCCAAAAUUUAUACUAAAAUGGUGCAAGUGAACAGUGCAGCACCAUCUUGCAUCAUUUUCGUGCAAGUAUGGAUUUUUGGUUUUCAGUCCUCUUUUACAUAAUUCUGACUUGUUCACCGUGAAUAAAUUCAUGCAUUAUCGGAUCAAC